AAAUAAGAAGCAAAUAAUUGCAGUUAGUUUCGACCUAAAAAUUUGAUUUUUCAAAAUCCUUAUUUA
rnacentral:tRNA from 1 species